ACAGCAGUCGCCACGGUAAUACGAAGGGUGCAAGCGUUACUCGGAAUUACUGGGCGUAAAGCGUGCGUAGGUGGUGGUUUAAGUCCGUUGUGAAAGCCCUGGGCUCAACCUGGGAAUUGCAGUGGAUACUGGGUCACUAGAGUGUGGUAGAGGAUAGUGGAAUUUCCGGUGUAGCAGUGAAAUGCGUAGAGAUCGGAAGGAACAUCUGUGGCGAAGGCGACUAUCUGGGCCAACACUGACGCUGAGGUACGAAAGCAUGGGGAGCAAACAGGAUUAGAUACCCCGGUAGUCCCUGUCUCUUAUAA
rnacentral:rRNA from 1 species